rnacentral:rRNA from 1 species
AGGGUUUGAUUCUGGCUCAGGACGAACGCUGGCGGCGUGCCUAACACAUGCAAGUCGAGCGAGUGAAUCUCCUUCGGGAGUGAAGCUAGCGGCGGACGGGUGAGUAACACGUGGGCAACCUGCCUCAUAGAGGGGAAUAGCCUUCCGAAAGGAAGAUUAAUACCGCAUAAGAUUGUAGCUUCGCAUGAAGUAGCAAUUAAAGGAGCAAUCCGCUAUGAGAUGGGCCCGCGGCGCAUUAGCUAGUUGGUGAGGUAACGGCUCACCAAGGCGACGAUGCGUAGCCGACCUGAGAGGGUGAUCGGCCACAUUGGGACUGAGACACGGCCCAG